UGGGGUGUAUCUCCUCUGUCUGAUACGCAGUUGAAAGAGUAGUCGGUUCCACGUGAGUUCGAAUCUCACCACCCCAACCA
rnacentral:tRNA from 1 species